CAAAAUCCCUUUUUGUUAUUUAAGGCUAUAGCCUGUUAUUGUCACAAGGGGGUGCUGUGAUGCAGUCUUGUGUUCUGACGACCUUGCGUCUAGUGCGCAGGAAGUAUUACCUGUCUCUUCCUGUGAGAUCUUCCCUCUGAUGGCGAUCAAGUACGUGUCGGAGCGCAUGGAAAAAGUAUCUUGGCCCCGAGCUCUGACCACAAAGGGAAUAACGUCUGUCAAGUUAUUUGUGUUGGAAAAUCCCGAUUGGUUUUUUGAACUACCAGAAAGGAUUCUGGAGAACCACUGACGGCGAGAACAGCCCAAAUGAGAUCCUGGAUGAUCGUGAAAUGGUGUGGCCAGCCAUGCGAUCGGAUUGUGGAUCUUGCCUGAGAAACUGAUUCAAGCAACCCUGGAUUUCAGAUAAGCCCUAUGCACUACUUUUCCUACCCGGAUAAUAGGGUCUACACACUGACAAUUCCCCUACAGUACGCCUGUUUGGGUUUCAACGACUUUAAAGGACAAUUCAGACUGGACAAUUCAAACUUCACAAGAGGAACACUUUAAUCUGUUUCAUUCAUUCAAAAGAGCUCUGAUACAAUUCAGUAUAAGUCUUCCAUUUAAGUGCCUUUAUGUUAUUUUAUUUUGUUCUGUUUUACAUCUAUUUACCUUCAAAACGCACUAUUAGUGUGCAAUUUGGUUUAUUGUGUUGUACAUGUUAUGAAUGGUACUGAGGCAAUAAAGGUCCCAGUUAUUCACUUCCAAGCCAACUCCUUUUGUGAGUCUCCAAAACAAAACCUCCUUCUGAACCUAGAAAGAUGUCUAGGGUCUCUAUUUGAGGUGAAAGUGUACUGGUCCUGAGUAGAGGCGCUACACAAAACGUGGCGAGCCAGCCAGGAGGUUUAAUUCCUUUUAUUUUUGGAAGUUGAGCAACUGGUGCUUUCAUGCCUUUUGGGUCAAAUCAUUACAUUUGUCCAUGACAUUAAUAAGUAGUAAUAAGACAACAUGGAUGUAAUCCAAACUGAAGGUGUCAAAGUACCUAACUC
ensembl:lncRNA